rfam:Paenibacillus sp. HGF7 contig00083, whole genome shotgun sequence.
AUAAAAAUCGGCCCCCGUAUCACUACGAGGGCCUUUCAUGGGAGAGGAGAAACCGGACGAAGAGCUUAUGGGGAAACGUAAGUCUUCUCCGCGG